rnacentral:rRNA from 1 species
GACGAACGCUGGCGGCGUGCCUAAUACAUGCAAGUUGAGCGAUGAAGAUUGGUGCUUGCACCAAUUUGAAGAGCAGCGAACGGGUGAGUAACGCGUGGGGAAUCUGCCUUUGAGCGGGGGACAACAUUUGGAAACGAAUGCUAAUACCGCAUAACAACUUUAAACAUAAGUUUUAAGUUUGAAAGAUGCAAUUGCAUCACUCAAAGAUGAUCCCGCGUUGUAUUAGCUAGUUGGUGAGGUAAAGGCUCACCAAGGCGAUGAUACAUAGCCGACCUGAGAGGGUGAUCGGCCACAUUGGGACUGAGACACGGCCCAAACUCCUACGGGAGGCAGCAGUAGGGAAUCUUCGGCAAUGGACGAAAGUCCGACCGAGCAACGCCGCGUGAGUGAAGAAGGGUUUCGGAUCGUAAAACUCUGUUGGUAGAGAAGAACGUUGGUGAGAGUGGAAAGCUCAUCAAGUGACGGUAACUACCCAGAAAGGGACGGCUAACUACGUG